rnacentral:rRNA from 1 species
AUUGAACGCUGGCGGCAGGCUUAACACAUGCAAGUCGAGCGGGGUGAUGGUGCUUGCACUAUCACUUAGCGGCGGACGGGUGAGUAAUGCUUAGGAAUCUGCCUAUUAGUGGGGGACAACAUCUCGAAAGGGAUGCUAAUACCGCAUACGUCCUACGGGAGAAAGCAGGGGAUCACUUGUGACCUUGCGCUAAUAGAUGAGCCUAAGUCGGAUUAGCUAGUUGGUGGGGUAAAGGCCUACCAAGGCGACGAUCUGUAGCGGGUCUGAGAGGAGGAUCCGCCACACUGGGACUGAGACACGGCCCAGACUCCUACGGGAGGCAGCAGUGGGGAGUAUUGGACAAUGGGCGCAAGCCUGAUCCAGCCAUGCCGCGUGUGUGAAGAAGGCCUUUUGGUUGUAAAGCACUUUAAGCGAGGAGGAGGCUUACCUGGUUAAUACCUAGGAUAAGUGGACGUUACUCGCAGAAUAAGCACCGGCUAACUCUGUGCCAGCCGCCGCGGUAA